UACGUAGGGUGCAAGCGUUAAUCGGAAUUACUGGGCGUAAAGCGUGCACAGGCGGUCCGCUAAGACAGAUGUGAAAUCCCCGGGCUUAACCUGGGAACUGCAUUUGUGACUGGCGGGCUAGAGUAUGGCAGAGGGGGGUAGAAUUCCACGUGUAGCAGUGAAAUGCGUAGAGAUGUGGAGGAAUACCGAUGGCGAAGGCAGCCCCCUGGGCCAAUACUGACGCUCAUGCACGAAAGCGUGGGGAGCAAACAGG
rnacentral:rRNA from 1 species